rnacentral:rRNA from 1 species
AAAGAUUCAUCGCUGAUAGAUAGGCAUGCGUUCCAUUAGGCAGUUGGCGGGGUAACGGCCCACCAAACCGACGAUGGAUAGGGGUUCUGAGAGGAAGGUCCCCCACAUUGGUACUGAGACACGGACCAAACUCCUACGGGAGGCAGCAGUGAGGAAUAUUGGUCAAUGGGCGUAAGCCUGAACCAGCCAAGUCGCGUGAGGGAUGAAGGUUCUAUGGAUCGUAAACCUCUUUUAUAAGGGAAUAAAGUGCGGGACGUGUCCCGUUUUGUAUGUACCUUAUGAAUAAGGAUCGGCUAACUCCGUGCCAGCAGCCGCGGUAAUACGGAGGAUCCGAGCGUUAUCCGGAUUUAUUGGGUUUAAAGGGUGCGUAGGCGGCCUUUUAAGUCAGCGGUGAAAGUCUGUGGCUCAACCAUAGAAUUGCCGUUGAAACUGGGAGGCUUGAGUAUGUUUGAGGCAGGCGGAAUGCGUGGUGUAGCGGUGAAAUGCUUAGAUAUCACGCAGAACCCCGAUUGCGAAGGCAGCCUGCCAAGCCAUGACUGACGCUGAUGCACGAAAGCGUGGGGAUCAAACAGGAUUAGAUACCCUGGUAGUCCACGCAGUAAACGAUGAUCACUAGCUGUUUGCGAUACACAGUAA